rnacentral:rRNA from 1 species
CCUGGCUCAGGACGAACGCUGGCGGCGUGCCUAAUACAUGCAAGUCGAGCGGAAUGAUGAAGAAGCUUGCUUCUUCUGAUUUUAGCGGCGGACGGGUGAGUAACACGUGGGCAACCUACCUUGUAGAUUGGGAUAACUCCGGGAAACCGGGGCUAAUACCGAAUAAUCCAUUUUGCUUCAUGGCAAGAUGUUGAAAGGCGGCUUCGGCUGUCACUACGAGAUGGGCCCGCGGCGUAUUAGCUAGUUGGUAGGGUAAUGGCCUACCAAGGCGACGAUACGUAGCCGACCUGAGAGGGUGAUCGGCCACACUGGGACUGAGACACGGCCCAGACUCCUACGGGAGGCAGCAGUAGGGAAUCUUCCACAAUGGACGAAAGUCUGAUGGAGCAACGCCGCGUGAGUGAAGAAGGUUUUCGGAUCGUAAAACUCUGUUGUAAGGGAAGAACACGUACGAGAGUAACUGCUCGUACCUUGACGGUACCUUAUUAGAAAGCCACGGCUAACUA